rnacentral:rRNA from 1 species
UUAGUAUUUGGUCGUAGACCCGAAACCAGGUGAUCUACCCUUGGUCAGGUUGAAGUUCAGGUAACACUGAAUGGAGGACCGAACCGACUUACGUUGAAAAGUGAGCGGAUGAACUGAGGGUAGCGGAGAAAUUCCAAUCGAACCUGGAGAUAGCUGGUUCUCUCCGAAAUAGCUUUAGGGCUAGCCUCAAGUGAUGAUUAUUGGAGGUAGAGCACUGUUUGGACGAGGGGCCCCUCUCGGGUUACCGAAUUCAGACAAACUCCGAAUGCCAAUUAAUUUAACUUGGGAGUCAGAACAUGGGUGAUAAGGUCCGUGUUCGAAAGGGAAACAGCCCAGACCACCAGCUAAGGUCCCAAAAUAUAUGUUAAGUGGAAAAGGAUGUGGCGUUGCCCAGACAACUAGGAUGUUGGCUUAGAAGCAGCCAUCAUUUAAAGAGUGCGUAAUAGCUCACUAGUCGAGUGACACUGCGCCGAAAAUGUACCGGGGCUAAACAUAUUACCGAAGCUGUGGAUUGUCC